rnacentral:rRNA from 1 species
AGUGAACGCUGGCGGCGUGCCUAAUACAUGCAAGUCGAACGAAGUGGCGCACGGGUGAGGAAUAUAUAGUUAAUCUGCCCUACACAGAGGAACAACAGUUGGAAACGACUGCUAAUACCUCAUAGUGUAGGAUGAGACUAUAUCGUAUCAUCUAGUUGGUAAGGUAAUGGCUUACCAAGGCUAUGACGCGUAACUGGUCUGAGAUGAUGAUCAGGUACAUUGGAACGGAGACACGGUGCAAAAUCCUACGGGAGGGAGCAGUAAGGAAGAUUGCGCAAUGGGGGGAACCCUGACGCAGCAACGCCGCGUGGAGGAUGACACUUUUCGGAGAGUAAACUCCUUUUAUCAGGAAAGCGGUACCUAAUGAAUAAGCACCGGCUAACUCCGUGCCAGCCGCCGCGGUAAUAC